CAUAGCUCACUGUAGAAAUAAGUUUGAAUUAACUAGUGGUUCAUGCUGAGACUCAAACUCUGCUUAUUGGUUUUCUAGUUAAUUCAAACUUAUUUCUACAGUGAGCUAUG
rnacentral:pre_miRNA from 1 species